UACAAGAGGAUUGGACAAAUCACUGUCUUCAUAGUUUAAUGCUGAGCUCCUCUGGUCAUUGACUAUCCUUUUCAUUCUUUAAUUGUCUAGUACUGGCAUAGUGCUUCUUCUUCAGGAGCAGCAUUCCCAGAAGCUACAUUAUCACAGGAAAAGAAUAAGAAUAAUCUUGCCAGCUUUUGUUCUACACAUUAAAUAAUGACCUUUUGAAUGAGUCAUUUAACCUGCAAAAAUUUAAAAAAAUAUUUUCCUUUAGUAAUUUUGUAAGAAUUAUAUUCCCUUAUAGGAAGGUCAUUCUUUGAAGGGAGAAAGCCCACCCAGAAUAAGAGAAGUGUGGCAUUAUUAAUUUCUGCAUUGAAACAUUUGACCAUGACCUUGAAUGCAUUCCCAGGAGUGUUGUAAUAUAGGACAUCAGCCGUUGGAUUUGAGACUGGCAGGGUCUCUUUUGGACACUCUUUUAGAGUCCUCCCUCAAAAAUGAAAAAGCUUCCAGAUUGAACAUCUCUUGGCUGGAGGAGGUGGGGAGAAGAAGAGGAAAAGGAGAAUGCCCUCAGCCCAGGACCAAGGACCAGACGGGAGAAGGCACAGCUUUUCUCACUCGCACUCUGCUCCUGAAACCCCUAAGAAGCCAGCUUC